GGGUAGGUCCCACACACCGAGUCCAGUACCGAGGAGCAGAGCAUGGUGCCGGAGGGAAAAGCUUGGUGACCCUAAGCUCUUUUUAGAGCUUCACUGCAGUUGUGAAGCGUCGCAGUUUACACGCACAGGAGCACCGUUCGCUUCAGGAUGGACUGGAACAUCAUGGCACUGUCCUGGGGUUAAUCAGAGAAGGCCCGGAUUUUCUGGGACUAGUGGUGAGGCCCCUCAACACAGUUGGCAAUCACAAAUCUGAGCAGUACGGAAAGGGGUUUGGACUGGACCAGAACUGCCUGUGGUUGGGUUUCAAAAUGCAGAGGCGCCAGAGGCUGGUAUCAGCCUGCUGUGUGGUCCCCUUGCUCAGACCAUAGCUGGGG
rnacentral:lncRNA from 1 species